AGAGUUUGAUCAUGGCUCAGAUUGAACGCUGGCGGCAGGCUUAACACAUGCAAGUCGAACGGUAACAGAACUAGCUUGCUAGUUGCUGACGAGUGGCGGACGGGUGAGUAACGCGUAGGAAUCUACCGAAUAGUGGGGGACAACAGUUGGAAACGGCUGCUAAUACCGCAUACGCCCUACCGGGGGAAAGGAGGGGAUCUUCGGACCUUUCGCUAUUUGAUGAGCCUGCGUGAGAUUAGUUAGUUGGUGGGGUAAUGGCUCACCAAGGCGACGAUCUCUAGCUGGUCUGAGAGGAUGAUCAGCCACACUGGGACUGAGACACGGCCCAGACUCCUACGGGAGGCAGCAGUGGGGAAUAUUGCACAAUGGGGGAAACCCUGAUGCAGCCAUGCCGCGUGUGUGAGGAAGGCCUUCGGGUUGUAAAGCACUUUCAGUUGUGAGGAAAGGUUAAGGGUUAAUAACCCUUAGCUGUGACGUUAGCAACAGAAGAAGC
rnacentral:rRNA from 1 species